rnacentral:rRNA from 1 species
CUUGCUGGAUGCUGACGAGCGGCGGACGGGUGAGUAAUGCAUAGGAAUCUGCCCGAUAGUGGGGGAUAACCUGGGGAAACCCAGGCUAAUACCGCAUACGUCCUACGGGAGAAAGGGGGCUCCGGCUCCCGCUAUGGGAUGAGCCUAUGUCGGAUUAGCUAGUUGGUGAGGUAACGGCUCACCAAGGCCACGAUCCGUAGCUGGUCUGAGAGGAUGAUCAGCCACAUCGGGACUGAGACACGGCCCGAACUCCUACGGGAGGCAGCAGUGGGGAAUAUUGGACAAUGGGGGAAACCCUGAUCCAGCCAUGCCGCGUGUGUGAAGAAGGCCCUCGGGUUGUAAAGCACUUUCAGCGAGGAAGAACGCCUAGCGGUUAAUACCCGCUAGGAAAGACAUCACUCGCAGAAGAAGCACCGGCUAACUCCGUGCCAGCAGCCGCGGUAAUACGGAGGGUGCAAGCGUUAAUCGGAAUUACUGGGCGUAAAGCGCGCGUAGGUGGCUUGAUAAGCCGGUUGUGAAAGCCCCGGGCUCAACCUGGGAACGGCAUCCGGAACUGUCAAGCUAGAGUGCAGGAGAGGAAGGUAGAAUUCCCGGUGUAGCGGUGAAAUGCGUAGAGAUCGGGAGGAAUACCAGUGGCGAAGGCGGCC